AGAAUCUUGCCCAAUGGGCGCAAGCCUGAGGCAGCCACGCCGCGUGGGGGACGAAGGUCUUCGGAUUGUAAACCCCUUUCAGCAUCGAAGAAGCGAAAGUGACGGUAGAUGCAGAAGAAGCCCCGGCCAACUACGGGCCAGCAGCCGCGGUAAUCCGUAGGGGGCGAGCGUUGUCCGGAAUCAUUGGGCGUAAAGCGCGUGUAGGCGGUCCAGUAAGUCGGAUGUGAAAUCUUCGGGCUCAACCCGGAAACUGCAUCCGAUACUGCUGGACUUGAGGAAGGUAGAGGAGAGUGGAAUUCCCGGUGUAGCGGUGGAAUGCGCAGAUAUCGGGAGGAACACCAGUAGCGAAGGCGGCUCUCUGGGCCUUACCUGACGCUGAGACGCGAAAGCGUGGGUAGCAAAC
rnacentral:rRNA from 1 species